rnacentral:rRNA from 1 species
UAACUGUUCNNNCAGGGACGGUAUCCAACCAGAAAGUCCNGGCUAAUUACGUGCCAGCAGCCGCGGUAAUACGUAGGUGGCAAGCGUUAUCCGGAUUUAUUGGGCGUAAAGNNAGCGCAGGCGGUUGCUUAGGUCUGAUGUGAAAGCCUUCGGCUUAACCGAAGAAGUGCAUCGGAAACCGGGCGACUUGAGUGCAGAAGAGGACAGUGGAACUCCAUGUGUAGCGGUGGAAUGCGUAGAUAUAUGGAAGAACACCAGUGGCGAAGGCGGCUGUCUGGUCUGCAACUGACGCUGAGGCUCGAAAGCAUGGGUAGCGAACAGGAUUAGAUACCCUGGUAGUCCAUGCCGUAAACGAUGAGUGCUAGGUGUUGGAGGGUUUCCGCCCUUCAGUGCCGGAGCUAACGCAUUAAGCACUCCGCCUGGGGAGUACGACCGCAAGGUUGAAACUCAAAGGAAUUGACGGGGGCCCGCACAAGCGGUGGAGCAUGUGGUUUAAUUCGAAGCUACGCGAAGAACCUUACCAGGUCUUGACAUCUUGCGCUAACCUUAGAGAUAAGGCGUUCCCUUCGGGGACGCAAUGACAGGUGGUGCAUGGUCGUCGUCAGCUCGUGUCGUGAGAUGUUGGGUUAAGUCCCGCAACGAGCGCAACCCUUGUUACUAGUUGCCAGCAUUAAGUUGGGCACUCUAGUGAGACUGCCGGUGACAAACCGGAGGAAGGUGGGGACGACGUCAGAUCAUCAUGCCCCUUAUGACCUGGGCUACACACGUGCUACAAUGGANNGGUCCAACGAGUCGCAAGCUCGCGAGAGUAAGCUAAUCUCUUAAAGCCGUUCUCAGUUCGGACUGUAGGCUGCAACUCGCCUACACGAAGUCGGAAUCGCUAGUAAUCGCGGAUCAGCAUGCCGCGGUGAAUACGUUCCCGGGCCUUGUACACACCGCCCGUCACACCAUGGGAGUUUGUAACGCCCAAAGUCGGUGGCCUAACCUUUAUGGAGGGAGCCGCCUAA